rnacentral:rRNA from 1 species
AGUGAACGCUGGCGGUAGGCCUAACACAUGCAAGUCGAACGGCAGCACAGUAAGAGCUUGCUCUUACGGGUGGCGAGUGGCGGACGGGUGAGGAAUACAUCGGAAUCUACUUUUUCGUGGGGAUAACGUAGGGAAACUUACGCUAAUACCGCAUACGACCUACGGGUGAAAGCAGGGGAUCUUCGGACCUUUCGCGAUUGAAUGAGCCGAUGUCGGAUUAGCUAGUUGGCGGGGUAAAGGCCCACCAAGGCGACGAUCCGUAGCUGGUCUGAGAGGAUGAUCAGCCACACUGGAACUGAGACACGGUCCAGACUCCUACGGGAGGCAGCAGUGGGGAAUAUUGGACAAUGGGCGCAAGCCUGAUCCAGCCAUACCGCGUGGGUGAAGAAGGCCUUCGGGUUGUAAAGCCCUUUUGUUGGGAAAGAAAAGCAGCAGGUUAAUACCCCGCUGUUCUGACGGUACCCAAAGAAUAAGCACCGGCUAACUUCGUG